AAAGUUAACGUCGACUAACCUAUAAAUAAAAUAAUAAAUAAAUAUAUUUAAUAAACAAAAUUACCCAUCGGAUCUCAUCUUCCUUUGAAACCCCUAAAACUUCUCCUAUAGAAACUCUAACAACCAGUCCAUCUAAAAAUAUCUUCAUGAAACGAACCCCAAUCGAUUGCUUUAUCAUUGGAAUCGUCGAAGGAAGUUAACGAUUAUCAUGUUGUCGAUGGUAAAGUAAGCCCUCUUAUUAUCCAACGCCCGACGAACCAACAGAUAAUCGAUGUAUCCACCUCUGGUCAGAGAUCGUUGAAACCAACAGCCCGACGUCUCACUUUCCCUCUCUCUCGCGUGUCUCCCUCUUCCCCUUUCGACCAAGGCCACAUCGUCAUCUUUAGCAAAUAUAGGAAGAAAAAUAUGGAAAAGCUUGUGAUCGAUGUGAAGGAAUCGACAAUGGUGAAGCCUGCUGCAGAGACGACUUAAGGAAUAUAUGGAGCUCAAAUUGGUUAUUUCUUAUAUUUUAUUUUCUUUAUUUGAAUCCUAUCAUCUUACAGGAUAACAUUUUUCGUGAAGCACAGACUAUGACACUGGUGGAAAAUCCUAAUGUACGGAAGUCUUACUACUCUUUUGUGAAUGGUCAAUUUCUUUGGGUAGUCAUGCCUUUCAUGGCUGGAGGAUCUUGUCUUCACAUAUUGAAAGUUGCACACCCAAAUGGUUUUGAUGAAGUGGUUAUAGCUACAAUACUGCGUGAGAUAUUGAAUGGUUGAGCAUAUAUCUACAUCUUCAUGGGCGCCACAUACAUAGAGAUGUCAAAGUCGGUGCACAUGGUGCAAUAAAGCUUGGGGAUUUUGAUGUUUUUGCUUGCCUUUAUGUUUCAGGGGAUAGGCAACACGUAAGGAACACAUUUGUUGAUAGAGUUUUCUUUAGGAUUGGAGGGAACUAUAUCAUCCAAGCAAUGGCCGUUUGAUGAACAAGUUACAAUAAAAAUUAUCCCCUUACAAGAGAGAUAGAAAGAACCUCAUUCCACAAAACACUAAUUUUUCUAUGUACUUGAAUAUCUUUGAAUCCCACUUAGGAAUAUUGAUAAUAUGCAUAAUGCUAAUGGUCUUUUAUAGUAAUAGAGUGCAGCUUGUACAUUACAUUUACUAUGCAAGUAGUUUCACAUAAUGUGAUUAUAUAUCCUAGAAUACAAAUAGCCAUCACUGUCGCAAAAUUUGGCUGAUAAAGAUUUCGUUAAAAGCAUUGUAUCAUUUGGUGCCAAGUGCCAACAUGUAUAAAACUGUUUAUUAAAGUUUUAAAAAGAUAAAUUAGCUUUGUGGGGCCUCAAAUUUCAAAAAUUUAAAAUGUAAA